rfam:Thielavia terrestris NRRL 8126 chromosome 3, complete sequence.
GGGUAAUUAGUCUAGUGGUCAGGACGCUUCGUUGUGGCUCCGAAUGAUCGCAGCGCGCAACUCUCCGAAGAAACCCCGGUUCGAUUCCGGGAUUGCCCA